UACGAGGGGGGCAAGCGUUGUUCGGAAUUAUUGGGCGUAAAGGGUGCGUAGGCGGUUUGGUAAGUCUUAUGUGAAAUCUACAGGCUCAACUUGUAGUCUGCAUGAGAAACUGCCGGGCUUGAGUAUGGGAGAGGUGAGUGGAAUUCCUGGUGUAGCGGUGAAAUGCGUAGAUAUCAGGAGGAACACCUGUGGCGAAAGCGGCUCACUGGACCAUAACUGACGCUGAGGCGCGAAAGCGUGGGUAGCAAACAGG
rnacentral:rRNA from 1 species